rnacentral:hammerhead_ribozyme from 1 species
AUUCAACUGACGAGUCACGAAUAGGAUGAAACACACGUCUUGGAU